rnacentral:rRNA from 1 species
AGAGUUUGAUCCUGGCUCAGAACGAACGCUGGCGGCAUGCUUAACACAUGCAAGUCGAACGCGUGGCUUCGGCCACGAGUGGCGCACGGGUGAGUAGCGCGUGGGAACCUGCCCUUUGGUACGGAAUAACGACGGGAAACUGUCGCUAAUACCGUAUACGCCCUUUGGGGGAAAGAUUUAUCGCCGAAGGAGGGGCCCGC